rnacentral:lncRNA from 1 species
UCCUGGAGGGGGAAAUCAAUCAUUUCUAGGCCCAGGGACAUGUACUAGUCUGUGGUGACCUAAAUGCCAGAACCGGACAAGAACCUGACACCCUCAGCACACAGGGGGACAAACACCUGCCUGGAGGUGACAGCAUUCCCUCCCACAUAUGCCCCCCUAGGCACAACAAUGACAACAUAACCAACAAAAACGGGUCACAACUCCUGCAGCUCUGUCGCACGCUGGGUCUGUACAUAGUCAAUGGUAGGCUUCGAGGGGACUCCUAUGGUAGGUACAUCUAUAGCUCAUCUCUUGGCAGUAGUACUGUAGACUACUUUAUCACUGACCUCAACCCAGAGACUCUCAGAGCGUUCACAGUCAGCCCACUGACACCCCUAUCAGACCACAGCAAAAUCACAGUCUACUUAAACAGAGCAAUACUCAAUCAUGAGGCAUCAAAGCCAAAGGAACUGAGUAACAUUAAGAAAUGCUAUAGAUGGAAGGAAUGCAGUUUGGAAACCUACCAAAAAACAAUUAGGCAACAACAAAUUCAAUCCCUUUUAGACAAUUUCCUGGGUAAAACGUUCCGCUGUAAUAGUGAAGGUGUAAACUUGGCAGUAGAAAAUCUUAAAAGUAUAUUUGACCUCUCAGCUUCCCUAUCAAAUCUAAAAAUCUCAAAUAGAAAACCGAAGAAAAUUAACAAUAAUGACAAAUGGUUUGAUGAAGAAUGCAAAAAUCUAAGAAAGAAAUUGAGAAACCUGUCCAACCAAAAACAUAGAGACCAGGAAAACCUGAGUCUACGCCUUCACUAUGGUGAAUCACUAAAACAAUACAGAAAUACACUACGAAAAAAGAAGGAACAGCAUGUCAGAAAUCAGCUCAAUGUAAUUGAAGAAUCCAUAGGCUCUAACCACUUCUGGGAAAAUUGGAAAACACUAAACAAACAACAACACGAAGCAUUAUCUAUCCAAAAUGGAGAUGUAUGGGUAAACCACUUCUCCAAUCUUUUUGGCUCUAUAACAAAGAAUAAAGAGCAAAAACAUAUACAUGAUCAAAUACAGAUCUUAGAAUCAACUAUUAAAGACUACCAGAACCCACUGGAUUCUCCAAUUACAUUGAAUGAGUUACAGGACAAAAUAAAAACCCUACAACCCAAAAAGGCCUGUGGUGUUGAUGGUAUCCUAAAUGAAAUUAUCAAAUAUACAGACAACAAAUUCCAAUUGGCUAUACUAAAACUCUUUAACAUCAUCCUUAUCCUCUGGCAUCUUCCCCAAUAUUUGGAACCAAGGACUGAUCAUCCCAAUCCACAAAAGUGGAGACAAAUUUGACCCCAAUAACUACCGUGGAAUAUGUGUCAACAGUAACCUUGGGAAAAUCCUCUGCAUUAUCAUUAACAGCAGACUCGUACAUUUCCUCAAUGAAAACAAUGUACUGAGCAAAUGUCAAAUUGGCUUUUUACCAAAUUACUGUACAACAGACCAUGUAUUCACCCUGCACACCCUAAUUGACAACCAAACAAACCAAAACAAAGGC